GACAGAGGGUGCAAACGUUGUUCGGAAUUACUGGGCGUAAAGCGUGUGUAGGCGGCCAUGUAAGUCGGAUGUGAAAGCCCUGGGCUCAACCCCAGGAAGUGCACUCGAUACUGCGUGGCUCGAGUACUGGAGAGGUUGGUGGAAUUCUCGGUGUAGAGGUGAAAUUCGUAGAUAUCGAGAGGAACACCGGUGGCGAAGGCGGCUUUCUGGUCUGCUCUUGACGCUGAGGCGCGAAAGCUAGGGUAGCAAACGGG
rnacentral:rRNA from 1 species